GCAUAAGUACUUGAUAUAAACUUGUUUCAGAAUACAUAUAUUCACCUGAUUUUUCAUCGUAUAGACACAGAUGUGAGAUGCAGAUGUAGAGGAAGAUAUGGGAGGGAGCAGGCGAUUUCAUGGUCAAUGUAAUAUUUAAUUCGGCAUUUCGCUCUUGAAUAUGUUGCCCGUUGCUGUUGCUGUUGCCGUUGCUAUUGCCGUUGGCGUCGUGGUCGCCUCUUUUGUUUAUGACAUUUAUGCAAAUUGACAGGUCCAUGAUUGGUGGGCGUGGCAUACGGCGUGUGGCUAUGGCUAUGGCUCUGGCUUUGUCUUUGGCCUUGACACUAUAAAUGCGAGUCUCUCCUUGGCAUUGCAUCAUUAAAAUGCAAAUCACAUAUCCUCUGCUCUGAUAAGCGGUGCUAACGCGUGUUCGGCAAGUGUGUGCCUGACACAAUUGCAUCCUGGAGCCCAAAAGAAUAGCACCAGACGAUCAAGAAGAGCAUUGAGCACUGUUUGAGUGGAAACUUUAUUCCUUUAAAGGAGAAAGGAUCACUUUUACUCUGAAUGAACCAUCCAUGAGUCCUUGACCGCAACAACACGAGUUCUAAUGGACAUUCUGGGGGCCAUGCCGAUGUGAACUUUAAACUGUGAUCCGAAGGUAGCGUCUUAAUUAAAUCUGCUAGGGGAUAUGGAAUCCCCCCAUGGAAGUGCCGGAUUAAUCGCAUUAGAAUUGAAUGUAGGAAUGGGGGACACACACUGGAAAAACAGUGUGUAUGGUUUCUACACUCUGGUUGCCUACGCUGCCUAAUUGAGCCAGCGAUUCACAUGCCUUAGUGCCUUUAAUAAAUUGCGACCCCCAUUCCCCAUUCCGCAUCCCGAAUCCCUUCCGUCAAGGCCGCACGCGAUGUCUGGCCCUUGGGCUAAAAAUUGAAAGUGUUUACUAUUAAUAUUUAUUCCCUCGGAAAGCGAGAGCCGAAGAAUUGUCACACGCAUGACAGAGUGCGGCGGGAGGGGCGCUUAAGCCCCACUUUGGGGACGAAUAUUAGCGAUGGAACGGUAUAUGGAACGACGGAGAACAGAACGGAGAGGAUGAUGGGUCGUUAGUGGCGGUUCCGUUUUGAGGUUCGUUUUGGGGUUUUGAUGGUGGCUGCCCCUCAGUUUGUGUUCGCUUCGAGUGCGGUUCGGGCUGGUGUUUUCCCGUGUGCUCUCAUUGUACUGUGCCCCAAAAGACUCCUCUUCGGAUCCUCCGCAAUGCACAACAGGAACAGCAACAGCCACAGCCGUCAUCUGGAGUACAGUUUCUGCAGCCUCAGUGGAUGCUGCUGCUGUUGCUGCGAAAGAAGUUGGCAUGCAACAAAAACAGUGGGAGACAGCGGCUUAAGGCAGCAGGAUGACCAGCAGAAGCAGCAGCAUGCCACAAAUGUCACUGGCAAGACAGCUGACACCGACACUGACACGGAAACGGCCUUGUUAGCAGCAACAAAAGCAACAAAAGCAGCAGCAACAGCAGCAGCAGUAAGUGGCAUGCAACAGCAGCCACUGAAUGCGUAAGUGAGGGCCAGAGCUUCCAGAUUGUUCCUCCGAUCUUCCACUGUACAGUGCAGUGCAUAUCAGCCUUCAAAAUACAAUCAAUGCACCGAUCCACGAGUCCGAUAGACACGGAUGAUGACUGACCUCUGGGCGAAUCAAAUCACAAAUAUUGAUCGUCGAUCGUUGAUCACCGAUCGCUGACUGAACAAAACAAUCUGCAAUCAGCAGCAGAAACCGAAGCAGAAACAGAAAAGAAAACAGCAGCAGUUCUUUUGACGCACUCGAUUUGCUCUCUUAUCAAUGCAAACGAUUCGGAAAAACAAACUCCACCGAAAUUAAUGUUGCACAUUCUGUAUACUACGCAGUGUGAGUGUGCCAUUCCAUUGAGGAUUUACU